UACGAAAGCGUGGGUCGCAAAACGAGAUUAGAUCCUGGUAGUCCACCCGUAAUAUAAGUAGUUUAGGCGAUGGGGUCUCGAGGACUUCGUGCGCAGAUUAAUGCACUAACUGACGCAUGGGGAUUACGGGCUGCAAGGCUUAAAACUUCAAAAGAAUUGAUGGGGGGCCGCACAAGCGGUGGAGCAUGUGGUUUAAUUACGAUGCAACGAUGAAGAACUUACGUAUCUUGACAUCGUGCGACAGUGGUAGAAGAUACCUUGGUGCGUUAGGGAACUCUCAGACAGGUGCUGCAUGGCUGUCGUCAGCUCGUGUUGUGAAAUGUUGGGUUAAGUCCCGUAACGAGCGCAACCAUUGUCCAUAUUUGCCAGAGAUUCGGUCGGAAUCUCUAGGGAGUCUGCCGGUGACAAACCGGAGGAAGGUGGGGACGACGUCAAGUCAUCAUGGCCCUUACGGGUAGGGCUACACACGUGAUACAAUGGCCGGUACAAUGGGUUGCAAAGGGGAGAGGGGGAAUUAAUCCCAUAAAGCCGGUCUCAGUCCGGAUCGGAGUCUGCAACUCUUUUCCGUGAAGUCGGAAUCGGUAGUAAUCUGCAUCAGAAUGGCACUGUGAAUACGUUCCCCGCCUUGUUCACACCGCCCGUCACUCCAUGGGAGGGACUGCACCAGAAGUGGUUAGCCUAACUUCGGAGGGCGGUCACC
rnacentral:rRNA from 1 species